GUCUCCCUCGGCUCCGCGCUCCCCAGCGUGACGACGAUGCCCGGCGGUAGCGGCGGCGGCGGUGGCGGCGGUGGCGGCGGCGGCGGCGAGAGGCGC
rnacentral:miRNA from 1 species